GAUGAACGCUGACAGAAUGCUUAACACAUGCAAGUCGAUUCGAUUUACCUUCGGGUAUUGAGGAUGGCGGACGGGUGAGUAACGCGUAAGGAACUUGCCUCUUGGUCUGGGACAACUGUUGGAAACGACAGCUAAUACCGGAUAUUAUGAGAUUCUCGCAUGGGAAACUUAUGAAAGCUAUAUGCGCCAAGAGAGAGCCUUGCGUUCCAUUAGCUAGUUGGUGGGGUAACGGCCCACCAAGGCGACGAUGGAUAGCCGGCCUGAGAGGGUGAACGGCCACAAGGGGACUGAGACACGGCCCUUACUCCUACGGGAGGCAGCAGUGGGGAAUAUUGGACAAUGGGCCACAAGCCUGAUCCAGCAAUUCUGUGUGCACGAUGAAGGUCUUCGGAUUGUAAAGUGCUUUCAGUUGGGAAGAAGAAAGUGACGGUACCAACAGAAGAAGCGACGGCUAAAUACGUGCCAGCAGCCGCGGUAAUACGUAUGUCGCAAGCGUUAUCCGGAUUUAUUGGGCGUAAAGCGCGUCUAGGCGGAAAAAUAAGUCUGAUGUUAAAAUGCGGGGCUCAACUCCGUAUUGCGUUGGAAACUGUUUUUCUAGAGUACUGGANAGG
rnacentral:rRNA from 1 species